rnacentral:rRNA from 1 species
UACGUAGGGGGCUAGCGUUGUCCGGAAUCAUUGGGCGUAAAGCGCGUGUAGGCGGUUCGGUAAGUCCGCUGGGAAAGUCGGGGGCUCAACCCUCGGAUGCCGGUGGAUACUGUCGGACUAGAGUGCGGAAGAGGCGAGUGGAAUUCCUGGUGUAGCGGUGAAAUGCGCAGAUAUCAGGAGGAACACCGAUUGCGAAGGCAGCUCGCUGGGACGUUACUGACGCUGAGACGCGAAAGCGUGGGGAGCAAACAGG